rnacentral:rRNA from 1 species
CCCUUAGAUGUUCUGGGCUGCACGCGCGCUACACUGAAGCUAUCAACACGUUUUCCCUCCCUGAGUAGGGCGGGUAACCUUUUGAAUCAGCUUCGUGGUAGGGAUCGGGGCUUGCAAUUGUUCCCCGUGAACCAGGAAUUCCUAGUAGACGCGAGUCAUAAGCUCGCAUCGAUUAAGUCCCUGCCCUUUGUACACACCGCCCGUCGCUACUACCGAUUGAACGUUUUAGUGAGGCAUUUGGACCGACGCAUCUCAGUUUAACCGCUGGUUUGUGUUGGAAAGACUUCCAAACUUGAGCGUUUAGAGGAAGUAAAAGUCGUAACA